GAUGAAGAACGUAGCGAAAUGCGAUAAGUAGUGUGAAUUGCAGAAUUCAGUGAAUCAUCGAAUCUUUGAACGCACAUUGCGCCCCUUGGUAUCCCGAGGGGCAUGCCUGUUCGAGCGUCAUUUCACCACUCAAGCCUGGCUUGGUGUUGGGCGACGUCCUCUUUGGGGACGCGCCUCGAAACGCUCGGCGGCGUGGCACCGGCUUUAAGCGUAGCAGAAUCUUUCGCUUUGGAAGUCGGGGCCCCGUCUGCCGGAAGACCUGCUCGCAAGGUUGACCUCGGAUCAGGCAGGGAUACCCGCUGAACUUAAGCAUAUCAAUAAGCGGAUGA
rnacentral:misc_RNA from 1 species